CUUUGCGAUGCUAGGAUUCCCCUUAUUUCUAUAAUUUGGGGAAUGGAUUGCUACUAUAAGGUUGGCUGAACUAAUGGAUCGGUUGAACUAGAAGUAGAUAAAGAUUAGUUACUUUCUUGUCCCUGAACUUGUUGGAAUCUACCGAUUAGUGUAAUAUGCAUCAGUUUGUACUGUAAGGACACUAGUUUCUGUGGCAUACAAGUCAAUGUAUGCAAACCACAGGCUAUUAAGAAAUAGCUAGGCCUCACUAGUUCAUUAUCUAGCACCUACCGUGAGUCUUAUGGUCGUGCUGGAGCAAGUUUCUCCUGCUUAUGCUUGUUCUAAUUCAGUAGUUCUGACGCAUAUCAGUUGUGGUGAUCUGGUGAGAUUUUGCCCACACUUGCUGCUGCUAGUUAAAUAAAUAAACUUUACACAUGAGUGAGUUGCAAGUUUAUUUCUGCUUAUCACAUUAGCUGAGAGCCUAUUCUCUGGGUUGAUAACAGAAGGGUCUCCCCUUGAACAAAGUCCGAGUCUUCCCCGACAACCAUACCGAGCUGCUGCUCCUAGAAACGUCCUCAGAUCCUCAGAGCUGCUGCCAGGCUGCCACUGGCCACAACCCCAAAUUGCUUCUCCUGUCGUUGGCGAUGUCCCUAACCUGCGGCUGUUGUCUUCGACUGUGACAUGCUGUUGCUGGUGAGGCCCCUCUUCACAUGAAGGAAGCGAUGCUGUGAGGCCCCUCUAACGUGCCAGUAAUCAGAAGAUUGUAUUCCUGAAUUCAAUUUUAUUUAUAUGUGCUUGAGUUUCUGGUAUGUAAUGAUCUCAAUCCACUACUAAACUAUCUACUUAUUUUGGUACGAUCAGUUUAUAUUUCAGUGGUUCAAUUAUUGGGCUAGCUAGAAAUCAAUACACGUGUAUUUACAAAUCCAGCAAUCACAAGUACAGGAGCAACUAACGUGCAUGCUGGCAGGCAACAUGGUCCGUGUGGGCUUUGUCCAUGGCGGCUGCCGCUAGUGCUGCCUUGAAGUCCAGUACUAAUGUGAGAGUUGCCCCUGCAAGGUCUGCAAUGAGCAUAUGCAGAUUUUGCCACAACUUGCUUCUAAUUACAUGUGCACUGACAAGGCAGAGACAACAGCGCAGGUGGCGGUAGCAUGAGAUGGCACAUCAAGAAGCCAGAAGCGGGUGCCCAUCAGUCGCAAAAAAUAACAGGGUAUAAAUUUGGUUUGAUGUGGCAUCAUAAUUCUUGAUGUCCUCAGCGAUUCUACAAGUGGGAGGCUUCCUAUGAAGAUUAUGUGAAAGUGAUAGCAAGGAAGGAGAAGAAUGUUGCCCACUCCAUGAAGAAUGAUGAUCAGAAGAUCACAAAUGAACAACUUUAUGUGUUGAUGUGUGGAAUUUAGCAAAUAAAUGCUGAGAUAUUGUGUGUUGCUAACAGAAAUAGUGGGCAUUUCUGAUGUGUGCAUUGUUGCCAGUGACUAUGCUGAAAUUGAUGUAGUUUUGUUGUUUGGCAAAUGUUAACUUGUAGUGAUCUAUCAAGUAUUAUUGAAAUAAAGUGAUUUUGUGUA